CGUACGUGUAGGUGCGGGUGAUGUCCCCUGCCGGGUUGAGGCCGGUGUCGUGGACGGUGUCGGACGUCCGGUUGCCGAUCGCGUCGGUGACGUACGAC
rnacentral:tRNA from 1 species